rnacentral:rRNA from 1 species
CAUCUCCUUAAUCGGAGAGUUCCCUUCGGGGACAUUGGUGACAGGUGGUGCAUGGUUGUCGUCAGCUCGUGUCGUGAGAUGUUGGGUUAAGUCCCGCAACGAGCGCAACCCUUGUCUUUAGUUGCCAUCAUUAAGUUGGGCACUCUAGAGAGACUGCCAGGGAUAACCUGGAGGAAGGUGGGGAUGACGUCAAAUCAUCAUGCCCCUUAUGCUUAGGGCUACACACGUGCUACAAUGGGUAGUACAGAGGGUUGCCAAGCCGUAAGGUGGAGCUAAUCCCUUAAAGCUACUCUCAGUUCGGAUUGUAGGCUGAAACUCGCCUACAUGAAGCUGGAGUUACUAGUAAUCGCAGAUCAGAAUGCUGCGGUGAAUGCGUUCCCGGGUCUUGUACACACCGCCCGUCACACCACGGGAGUUGGAGACGCCCGAAGCCGAUUAUCUAACCUGUUGGAAGAAGUCGUCGAAGGUGGAAUCAAUAACUGGGGUGAAGUCGUAACAAGGUAGCCGUAUCGGAAGGUGCGGCUGGAUCACCUCCUUUCUAAGGA